rnacentral:rRNA from 1 species
GUCUUUUUGGUUAUUUAAUAUAAAGUCUGACCUGCCCACUGAAAUUAUUUUGAAGGGCCGCAGUAUUUUGACUGUGCAAAGGUAGCAUAAUCAUUAGUCUUUUAAUUGAAGGCUGGUAUGAAUGGUUGGAUGAGGUACAAGCUGUGUCAUAAAAAUUAAUAUUUGAAUUUACCUUUUUAGUCAAAAGGCUAAAAUAAAAUUAAAAGACGAGAAGACCCUAUAGAGCUUUAUAUAAUUUGUAUUUAAAUUAUUAAGAUUUUUUAAAUUUAAUUAUUUUAUUAUAUUUUGUUGGGGUGACAAUAAAAUUUAUAAAACUUUUAUUAUUAAUAAACAUUUAUUUAUGGUUAUAUGAUCCAGUUUUAUUGAUUAUAAAUUUAAGUUACCUUAGGGAUAACAGCGUAAUUUUUUUUGAGAGUUCUUAUCGACAAAAAAGAUUGCGACCUCGAUGUUGGAUUAAGAGUAAUUUUGGGUGUAGAAGUUCAAAGUUUAAGUCUGUUCGACUUUUAAAUUCUUACAU